rnacentral:lncRNA from 1 species
GGUCCACUGAGCACUGGAGGUACUAAACAGACAAAGAAGAUCUCUCAAGGAGGGACUUCUCCCAGAAGUAAAUAUGAGUCCAACAUCCACCAAAGAGGAGGAUGGGAUGUUGAAUGACUAUGAAGGACAUAAAACCAAAGACAAGGAAAGACUAAUGCAUGCGCCUCAUCUCCCUCAACAAGCCACUGACGAAACCACUCCCUGCUUACAGUACUCCUUCAGACCCAAAGGAACAUCUGCUUUAGUCUGGGACAGCUCCCCUGUUACCCAUCAUCCCUCCUUUCUAUUGAUCAUUUAUUUGUUGAAAGGACCAGAGCUUAUAUUUUUGACCGUUUCCCAGAUUCUCAGCUUGUAUUAUUACGGACUCAUUUCUCCAUCACCUGCAUCUUCUCCAAACAGAGGCUUCAGUUUUGCUUUGUGUCAUCCUCUUCCUCACAACCAAAUGCCUCUGGUGCUACUGGACAGGAGGUACCAAUGCUAUCACUGGAGGGAAAAUAUUCUUGGAGGUCAGUUAUUCUUUCAAGUGACUUGGUAUCAAACUUGACUUCCCCGAGAUUCGGAAAAUGAAACGCAUGCAGGUGUGCACGUUCGGGAUGGAAUUCCAAACCAAACAAAAUGCACAGACUUGUGCAAUGGCCAAGAAGGACCGGCAUUGCAGCUCCUUGCAGCUCGGUCUUGGGGAACAGACAUUUCUCCGACAGUAAAUUCCAAUAAAGUUGGUGGGUGUAGCACUAAUGACUCCACUCUGAGUCACUCCUAGGGACCUGAAAUCACGCAAGGAUUACCCAGCAGGAUGGUGGAGGGAGGGAGAGGUCAGCAGUUCUGAUUCCAUGGGAACCCGAUUUCAGAAGCAGUCCUCUAAUGACUUUGAUGCUCUGGUU